AUCAUUGUAACGAGCUCAAUUAUUUGUAUAAAUAUGUACAUGUUCACAAGCUUGUACAAACAUAACUGAAAAAAAUGGAGAAGAAAGUGAUGAUAGCUGCUCUGUUUCUGGCCAUGUUUGUGCUCUCCUCCAAUAUAAAGCUGGUGGAGUCUGGCCCUGAGGAUUGCAUUGAUGCAUGUUACACUGGUUGUGUCUUUCCCAACGAUGGUAAAGCUCUGAGAGAGUGUGAGAAUAAAUGCGAUAUAAGAUGCGGUAAAGGUGGGAAAGCUGCUGAGAAUCAAGACUGAUGACUUGUGUAUCAGCAAAUAUAUUUAAGGCCAUUAGAAUAAAAAAUCAAUAAAUUGGUCCCCCUGAUAUUGAUAAUUAUCAGGGGGAACUCUGUUGUAUGCACUAUGCCUGUAUUGUUAAGCAGUAUAAAUUAUUAUUUCCUCUA